UAUGUAUAUAGAUAUCAAUAAUUUGCGUUAUUGAUUUUCCUAUUUGGAAUAGCACCUGGUAGUACUAUAUGAAUUCACACAAGUGACAGUGAAAAAAUAUUAUUAUGUUGAAUAUUGACAAGCAUCGUUUUAUCAAUCGUAUCGGCGCAAAGGUGAUAAACGUAUUUAUCAUUUCUGCGAGAAGGAAAGGUCUUUGAAUAGGAAUUUACGUCAAGCAAACUAAAUGCACGUGGACAAAUAUAAAUGUGUUUGAAAUUCAUGAUAGAUUACCUUCAAACGUGAAGCGAGCAAACAUAAAUAAAGUGAGUGUACCGCUUGAUAAACGGAGAAAAAAGUAAAAUAUAAGCAAACGUCGUAUUAUCAACUACUUAUAUUUUUAUCAUAAAUUAUUUUAUUAUUAUUAUUCGUACCAUGUAUUUCGCUGAUAUACGAAACGUAUAUGUAAUAAUUCAUGCAGUUUAUUUUGCGGUAAUCAAUACGUAAAUAUAUUCUCAAAAUGAUUGAUGACGUACGAGAGUUUGUGGAAAGAUUCAAAUGUUUGAUAGAAGCCUGUGAAACCAGAUUUUCCACAAAGAGAACUUUUAUACCAAUCGAAGUAUACAAUACAAAAUUAUUUCGUAUCACGUACUAUAGAAAUUAUUUCAUUAAUUUUUGAUACUUAUAUCACACACCCGAUUUUACACGUUUGAUUCCAAAUACAAUUUAAUUAGCGAAAUGUUGUGAAACGAUUUAAUUAAUACGCUUGUUCAUCGUGAAAACGGUAGGAAACUAUAUCUGUAUAUAGUAAAAGAAAAGAACAUUACGUAUUUAUUAUCCGCACAAACAGUUCUUAUCGUUAGUAUUUCUCUUACCUCUGGUUAUUAAAUACUCGUAUUUCUGCUUCUACGAAUGGAAGUAAGAUUUCAUUCUAAAUAGAAACCGUAUAAUGAGGGAAAAUACGAAUGAACAGGCCAGUCGAGUGAAGUUUGUUUGAAAAUCCUGAUGCUACAAAGAAGAUAGAGCACUUUCAGAAUGCGAAAGUAGAUCAUCGAUCGUGUCAACAUCUCCAUCGAAAGUUGGAUGCCGCAAGAAUUUGAAAUUAAGCUGGCAGCAGGAAUUGCGGGGGUGGAAACGGAUGUAAUAUCGAGCAACAAGCACGCCAAGGUUCUCGGAGUAUGAGCGUUGUAAUUUGACCGAUGCUUCGAUCGACGCUUCCUUUGUCCGAGCAUCUCGAAAUUGUUCAACUAUUACGAUUAUCAACUACCAUAUCACAUGACAAUAAAAUAAAAUUAAUAGAUAGAAGACGAAAUAAACUGAACCAUUUUCGUGUUGCUAUAAUAAAAUAUCGCCUUAAUUUGACCAGUAAAAUUAAAUGAAAUUUGUUCAAGCAUAGCACAAUGUAAAUUAAAACGCAUAAAACAAUAUUAAACGCUAUUUUAAAACGUA